rnacentral:rRNA from 1 species
UGGGGAAUAUUGCACAAUGGGGGAAUCCCUGAUGCAGCGACGCCGCGUGAACGAAGAAGGUAUUCGUAUCGUAAAGUUCUGUCCUAUGGGAAGAUAAUGACAGUACCAUAGAAGAAAGCUCCGGCUAAUUACGUGCCAGCAGCCGCGGUAAUACGUAUGGAGCGAGCGUUGUCCGGAAUUAUUGGGCGUAAAGGGUACGCAGGCGGUUUAAUAAGUCGAAUGUUAAAGAUCGGGGCUCAACCCCGCAAAGCAUUGGAAACUGAUAAACUUGAGUAGUGGAGAGGAAAGUGGAAUUCCUAGUGUAGUGGUGAAAUACGUAGAUAUUAGGAGGAAUACCAGUAGCGAAGGCGACUUUCUGGACACAAACUGACGCUGAGGUACGAAAGCGUGGGGAGCAAACAGG